rnacentral:rRNA from 1 species
GACGAACGCUGGCGGCGUGCCUAAUACAUGCAAGUUGAGCGCUGAAGGUUGGUACUUGUACCAACUGGAUGAGCAGCGAACGGGUGAGUAACGCGUGGGGAAUCUGCCUUUGAGCGGGGGACAACAUUUGGAAACGAAUGCUAAUACCGCAUAAAAACUUUAAACACAAGUUUUAAGUUUGAAAGAUGCAAUUGCAUCACUCAAAGAUGAUCCCGGGUUGUAUUAGCUAGUUGGUGAGGUAAAGGCUCACCAAGGCGAUGAUACAUAGCCGACCUGAGAGGGUGAUCGGCCACAUUGGGACUGAGACACGGCCCAAACUCCUACGGGAGGCAGCAGUAGGGAAUCUUCGGCAAUGGACGAAAGUCUGACCGAGCAACGCCGCGUGAGUGAAGAAGGUUUUCGGAUCGUAAAACUCUGUUGGUAGAGAAGAACGUUGGUGAGAGUGGAAAGCUCAUCAAGUGACGGUAACUACCCAGAAAGGGACGGCUAACUACGUGCCAGCAGCCGCGGUAAGAC